rnacentral:rRNA from 1 species
CUGGUUGAUCCUGCCAGUAGUCAUAUGCUUGUCUCAAAGAUUAAGCCAUGCAUAUCUAAGUAUAAGUUUUUUACUGCGAAACUGUGAAUGGCUCAUUAUAACAGUUAUUAUUUCCUAGCCGGUCAGUUAUUCCUUGGAUACCCAUGGUAAUUCUAGAGCUAAUACAUGCUUACAGACCCAACUUCACGGAAGGGUUGCGCUUAUUAGAUACCGAACCAACCCCGCAAGGGAUUUAGUUGAUUCAUAGUGUUCUGGCGAAUCGACUUUUAGUCGAUGAGGCUAUCAAGUUUCUGACCUAUCAGCUUCCGACGGUAGGGUAUUGGCCUACCGUGGCUUUGACGGGUAACGGAGAAUUAGGGUUCGAUUCCGGAGAGGGAGCCUGAGAAACGGCUACCACAUCUAAGGAAGGCAGCAGGCGCGUAAAUUACCCAAUCCUGACACAGGGAGGUAGUGACAAGAAAUAUCAAUAUAAGACAUUUGUGUCUUGUAAUUGGGAUGAGCGGAACCUAAAUCGCUUCUCGAGUAUCAAUUGGAGGGCAAGUCUGGU